CACUUGUUGCAAAGAACCUCGCUUCGGUCGACUGGCCGCACUAUGGACCGGGACCAAAGGGGCUUUAAUCAUUCACCUGCUGGUUACGGGUCGCGGCUCCAGGCACCCGACUCCAUCCCCCGGCCAAUCGACUGGCAGCAUCCGGAGGAGACUGGCACCCGCGCCGCCACCCGGCUUCCUUCCUUCCUGCUGAGCAGCUCCUCUGCACCCCGGGACCCUCUGAGGACGCGCUCACCCCGCUUUGGCUGCACAGCCGGAUGCCCCCACGCAGCCCGAGCCCCCCGGCACCCCACCCCCAGGAUCCCGAGACCUCGCUCCUCCGCCUCACAAGAAACUCCCUUCCUUCCCCUGCUCCCUCGUACCUCCUGGUAGGAUGUGAGGUACUUGGACAAAUUACUCCUGUGGGAACACUAACCAUGUGUUGUGUGGUGAAAGGGACUCCUUAGCCCAACAAGCCUUGUGUGCAUAAAAAAUGAUGGAAGAUAAUGUGAAGACAGACACGGAGAAGACCACGUCAUGACAGAAGCAGACGUUGUAGUGAUGCAGCUGCAAGCUGAGGUGACUUCAGUUAUUCACAUGCUGUUUACAAGUCCCAACUCCCAGGUCCUGGCUCCAUCCCUUGGCCAAACAAUAGGCAGUAUCUCAAGGAUUUCCAGCUGCCAAGAGAAGCUAGGUGCAUGUCCUUGUUGACACCUUGAUUUCAAACUCAUAGCUUCCAGACGUUGAGGGAAUAAAUUCCUGUUGUUUUAAAGCCUU